rnacentral:rRNA from 1 species
AAUGGGAGAUAAACUUCUUCUAAAGCUAAAUAUUUAUGGGAAACCGAUAGCGAACAAGUACUGCGAAGGAAAGGUGAAAAGAACUUUGAAAAGAGGGUUAAAAGACUUGAAAUCGUUGAGAAGGAAGUGGUUAAAGAGUAAUCAUUUGUGUACAAUAAAUGCUUUGCUUCCCUGGCUUUAGCGCGUUUUAGUACUUCAUAGGCUGUGCGUGUUAAACGUUAGGUAGCUUGGCUGUCUUUGUAUGCAAGAGGCAACAUGAAGUUUAGUAAUGGGAAUAAACCAGCAGAACGACCCGCAAGGAGUCUGUUGAUGAAACCGUAAUUAAGCUUGAGGGGCCUGAGGGCGAUGUUGUCAAAAUGGCUUUAACUGUCCCGUCUUGUAACACGGUCCAUGGAGUGUAACCUACGCGCAAGUGUUAGGGUGGAAAAACCCGAACGCAUAAGGAAACUAAGGAUAUGUUGUUUACAGCAACAGCGGACCUAGCGUCUUUGACAAAGGGCUCCAGCAAGAGCGAGUAUGUUACGACCCGAAAGAUGAUGAACUUUACUUGAGUAGGGUGAAGCCAGGGGAAACUCUGGUGGAAGCUCGCAAGAUCUUCUGACGUGCAAAUCGAUUUCCAAACUUGAGUAAAGGGGCGAAAGACUAAUCGAAUCAUCUAGUAGCUGGUUCCCUCUGAAGUUUCUCUCAGGAUAGCUGGAACAAACCAAGCAGUUUUAUUAGGUAAAGCGAAUGAUUAGAGGAAUCGGGACUUAAAGGGUUUUGACCUAUUCUCAAACUUUAAAUUGGUAAGAACCGGGGGUUAACUUAAUUGAACCUCUGGGCAGAAUGCUUGUUCCAAGUGGGCCAUUUUUGGUAAGCAGAACUGGCGAUGAGGGAUGAACCUAACGCUUAGAUAAGGUUCCUAAGUAUGCAUUCAUGAGAUCCCACAAAAGGUGUUGGUUCAUUAACACAGCAGGACAGUGGCCCUGGAAGUCGGAAUCUGCUAAGUAGUGUGUAACAACUAACCUGCCGAAUGAACUAGCCCUGAAAAUUUAAGGAGCUAAAAUGCAUCACCGAUACUAAGCCAUUACAGCAAAUUUGAGGCUGUGAUGAGUAAGAGGGCGUGUCCGUCUCGUGUAGAAGCCCUUAGUGUGAACUUGGGUGGAACGGCGGAUAGUGCAGAUCUUGGAGGUAGUAGCAAAUAUAAAUGUGAGAACCAUUUAGAUCGAAGUGGGGAAGGGUUUCUUGUGAACAGCAAUUGGACAAGAGUUACUCGAUCCUAAGGCAUAGGGCAAGUCCUUGGAAUGCAAAACAGUGUAUACUGUUGCUGCCAAAAGGGAAACAGGUUAAUAUUCCUGUAGUCGACCUCGGAUAAUGUGGCAACACAAAUGAGCCUGCAGACCUCAGCAUGAACCACUGGAAGAGUUGUCUUUUCUUUUUAACUGCUUAUGGCCCUGAAAUUGGAUUAUCCAGAGAAAGGGCUGUAAGGCAGGCAGAGCAGCUCACCCUAUGAGCUGUCAGUUGAGUUCUUGAUGAGCCUUGAAAACGCAGGGGAGAUUUUUAUUUCGAGUCGAAUCGUACCCAUAACCGCAUCAGGUCUCCUAGGUUAACAGCCUCUGAUCAAUAGAAGAAUGUAGAUAAGGGAAGUCGGCAAAAUAGAUCCGUAACUUCGGGAUAAGGAUUGGCUCUGAGGAUUGGGUGUAGGGGCCCUUUAAUGAACGUCACCAUAAGUGUCCUGUGUGCUUUUCGGAGUGUGCUAGUGCUAGUGGGGGCUGGAUUUAUUGGGACGUCUUCAUCGGCUCUCCCUUCACAAGGAACAAUCAACUCAGAACUGAAGCGGACAAGGGGAAUCCGACAGUUUAAUAAAAACCAAGCAUUGUGAUGUCGGGAAACCGAGUUGACACAAUGUGAUUUCUGCUCAGUGCUUUGAAUGUCAAAGUGAAGAAAUUCAAAUAAGCGCAAGUCAACAGCGGGAGUAACUAUGACUCUCUUAAGGUAGCCAAAUGCCUCGUCAUCUAACUAGUGACGCGCAUGAAUGGAUC